GUUUCGGGUCACGUACAUCCGAGGGUCG
rnacentral:rRNA from 1 species